rnacentral:pre_miRNA from 1 species
AAGAAAGACAGACCCUGGUUUCCGUGUCCAACGUUUGACCGUCCGUCCUAUUUGAAAAAAAUAUGAAAAAAAUUAAAAAGACAAGUCACGUAUAAAAUAUUAAUCAUGUUUUAUCAUCUAACAACAAUAAAAAUACAAAUUAUAAAAUAAAUUCAUAUAAGACGGACAGUCAAAGUUGGACACGGAAAUCCAGAGUUUGCUUCAUU